CGCCACACCCUGCUCUUCCACGCUCGCAACCUCGCACCCUCUCGCUCCCGCCCCUUCCUCUCCUCUCCGCCGCCGCCUCCCUCGCACCGGUGGUCCACAGCCCCAACUCGACCGGCGCGCUGCUGCACCGCGCGGGAUCCGGUGAGUUCUCCGUUGAGGUAAUCUCUCUUAGAUUGAAGCCUGCCGGGGUUGCUCGUCGCCCAGCAUCUCCUCCAUCUAGGUUUGCCGCAAACAACCUCGUCCAAGGUCGAGCCAACCGCACCAGUGCUUGACGAACAUGCAUCGGGAGCUCGACUACAGGUAGCCGGCCAGCCGUGCCCCUUUCCUCUCUCUUCCCCUGCAAACCGGUCCUUGAUUGGGAGGAAAUGGACAUGCGAGGAGGCAACGAGGACUUGCAGAUCAAGUCCCCGGGACUUCAGUUUGAUGUCUCAGAUAAGGCAAAUGCGGCAGGGAAUAACUGAAACAUGCUUCCUGAGGCCUAGGCCCUCCUCAUAGUUGUUCAGGUACUGGUGGUGGCCAAAUGGAUUGAUCAGGUCACGCAAGAUCUUACCAAUGGCUUGAGCAGGGUCUGAAUCGAUGGAGAACAUAUAUCUUUACUUGUUAAACGACCAGAAUAUGGAAAAUAUGUGUGAAUAGGAAGCAAUCUCUGGUACGGUGCUAUAUCCCGGCGAGAGAGAAACAACCAUCGUAGAUGGAUGUAUCUGUCUACUGUAUCUGAGUGCUAGGAUUCUCAAUUGGGCAACAAGUUACCAAGCUACUAUAUCUAUACAUGUAAGAGUGGGCCAAUUCUCUGCAAAAUGAUCUACCGCCCAUGUAGUUUACUUCUUGUAUUUGUUUGUGUAUAGUAAGGACAGGCUCAGUGAGUUUUCUUCCAUACACUGUUUUUUCAGAUGUAUGAGAUGAACGAAAUUUUAUACUAUUGCGGCAGCGCUAGGUAAACAGUGCCAUUGAUGGAGUAAAUCGUGCUUAUGCUCUUAAAUUAUCUCUACAGAUGGAUACUGGAUCGAGUGUACCCGGUGUACUGAAGUACGGCAGUGAGAAGCAAUCCCUCCGAUAUCUGCCUUUGGACUAGCUAUUCUAUUUGAACCAACAGGGUAUUGCAAGUAUUUCUAGCGUCUAUUACAGCCUUAUUAGCUAUUAGGUAAUAACUAACUUAUCUCUGCCGUCAGUUUAAGAAAACCCAUAUGGGAGAAGUUUUUUUUGCUGUGAAAACCCAUCUGUUAUACUUAGCUGUGACGGGAGGGCAUAGCUGUUUUUAGGUCUAAAUCAAUGAUGGUGUUAUGGUGUUAUGAUUAUUCAUUUGCAGCUGCAUCAUUUAUUUCUGGAGCAAUGGAAACUUUAUAUAGAUGCAAGGUUCUUACACUUGUGUUUUCUCACAUGUAGUCUUGGCAUGAAUUUUUAUGAAAACCAUUUCUCUUGCAGAAUAGAUUGGCAUGAAGCAGUCUGCCCUUAUCUGGUCUUUUUUCUUUCUUUUGCUGCAAAUUUAUAUAGAUAUUUCUGUUACAAGUUUUCUUUUACACCAUGUAAAACAUUCAUUAAGGGACUACCAUGAGAAACUCUGCUCUUGUGGCCGUGAAGGUAUCGAGCAUGUUUAUAGGAACUAUCGAUAUUUUUGCUCAUGGAUUUUCUUUUACACCAUCUGUCUUAUUUAUUGGCGUUUAGUGUUUACCUUUUAUGACAUUGUAAAUUGAGUACAUGGUUUUUCCUUUGGCAGUUUGGCAGAACAUGUAGAUUCAGAACAUGCUUUUUCCUUUAUCCUUUUAUGCUAAAAAAAUAUGAGGAGAUGGGUAUGCUGUGAUAUCAGCAGCUACCAAGGCCUAUGAAGCUAUAGCCUAAAAAGAGAACAUUGUAUGUCUGGCUUUGUCUCAUGAUAAACGUAAAAUUGUUCUUUCUCCAUGCUUAUGUGAAUCGAUUUAUUUUACUUUUCGAUAAUGUAAAUGUAAUGUAUUACAUGGCCAUCAACUGGAUGCCAUAUUUAGUCAUUAAUUAUGUUUCUAUCAUACUUAGUGUACUUUGGCAUCCCAGAUAUCUUGAUAUUUGUCUUAAUAUUGGACUCUUUCAUGAACAAAUAUUAGGAGAGAAUAAGACUGGAGGUGUGGCAGGAGGUGCUCUAGGCGAUCAAAGUGGGAGUUUUUUCUUUUACAAAAUUAUUCUCGUAUCACCUGGAGAGUGCUCUCUGGUUGCAAGAUGUAAAAUUGACACAUUCUUUUGCAAUACGAUCUGGCUGUCUUGCGCUCC